rnacentral:rRNA from 1 species
ACACGCAUGACACACUGCAUAUCAAUAAGCGGAGGAAAAGAAACUAACAAGGAUUCCCCUAGUAACGGCGAGUGAAGCGGGAAGAGCUCAAAUUUGAAAUCUUCAAGGGUUUCCCUUGACGAAUUGUAGUUUAAAGAAGUGUUUUCUGUUAGAGAGGUGGUAAAAGUUCUUUGGAAUAGGACAUCAUAGAGGGUGAGAAUCCCGUAUUUGACCAUUAUUUUCAGCUGUGUGAUACGCUUUCAAAGAGUCGGAUUGUUUGGGAAUGCAGUCCAAAAUGGGUGGUAAAUUUCAUCUAAAGCUAAAUAUUGGCGAGAGACCGAUAGCGAACAAGUACCGUGAGGGAAAGAUGAAAAGAACUUUGAAAAGAGAGUUAAACAGUACGUGAAAUUGUCAAAAGGGAAGCGUUUGACACCAGUGUUGUUUUUCCGAAAAUCAAUUACGAAUGUUUUAUUUUUGAGAAGUUAUGACUUCAUCGGCUUGCUUCUCUCUUUACUGAAACUUUCUUAAUGCACUUUUCGGUUAACAAGUCAACAUCAAUUUCUUUUGUUGUAAAAGGGUAUGAGGAAGGUGGCUUUCUUUUCGGAGAAAGUGUUUAUAGCCUUGUACCUCUGCAAUCGGAGAGAUUGAGGUCUGCAGCGUAGAUCCUUCGGGGUUAGAUACAUUUGUGCUAAGUUAUAGCUUUUCAUAGACAACUUGUUGACUAUGUUUAGUCUUGUAGCUUACUCGCUUAUGCUAUUUUACCUACGCUUAGGAUGUUGAAGACUCUACAGAGAU